GAGCGCAGCCCUUGUCCUUAGUUACCAGCACGUUAUGGUGGGCACUCUAAGGAGACUGCCGGUGACAAACCGGAGGAAGGUGGGGAUGACGUCAAGUCAUCAUGGCCCUUACGGCCUGGGCUACACACGUGCUACAAUGGUCGGUACAAAGGGUUGCCAAGCCGCGAGGUGGAGCUAAUCCCAUAAAACCGAUCGUAGUCCGGAUCGCAGUCUGCAACUCGACUGCGUGAAGUCGGAAUCGCUAGUAAUCGUGAAUCAGAAUGUCACGGUGAAUACCGGUUCCCGGGCCUU
rnacentral:rRNA from 1 species